rnacentral:rRNA from 1 species
CCUACGGGAGGCAGCAGUGGGGAAUUUUGGACAAUGGGCGAAAGCCUGAUCCAGCAAUGCCGCGUGAGUGAAGAAGGCCUUCGGGUUGUAAAGCUCUUUUGUCAGGGAAGAAACGGUGAGAGCUAAUAUCUCUUGCUAAUGACGGUACCUGAAGAAUAAGCACCGGCUAACUACGUGCCAGCAGCCGCGGUAAUACGUAGGGUGCAAGCGUUAAUCGGAAUUACUGGACGUAAAGCGUGCGCAGGCGGUUUUGUAAGUCUGAUGUGAAAUCCCCGGGCUCAACCUGGGAAUUGCAUUGGAGACUGCAAGGCUAGAAUCUGGCAGAGGGGGGUAGAAUUCCACGUGUAGCAGUGAAAUGCGUAGAUAUGUGGAGGAACACCGAUGGCGAAGGCAGCCCCCUGGGUCAAGAUUGACGCUCAUGCACGAAAGCGUGGGGAGCAAACAGGAUUAGAUACCCUGGUAGUCCACGCCCUAAACGAUGUCUACUAGUUGUCGGGUCUUAAUUGACUUGGUAACGCAGCUAACGCGUGAAGUAGACCGCCUGGGGAGUACGGUCGCAAGAUUAAAACGUCAAAAUGAAGUUAGACGGACGUGAGACGUAGACCGACGGACGACGACGAGGGGAGGAGGG